UUCUCCAACCCCCAUGUUUGGUUUUCCAGAUACGCACUUUUAAGAUUUUUUUUUUUCUUUGAAUUGUUGAUAUUUCAUUAGUUUCACUUUUAUUUCUGAACUUCUGUAAAAACAAUAUUUGGGAUCUUUCAAGUCCCAAUAUGCUGAAUCUUUUAAAUGAGGUCAGUGAGACAUGUAUUUAAUGACUUUGUACCAUAAUUCAGGAUAGGUUUCUCUGUUUGGAAUUUCAGCACAGACAAAACGUUCCACGUCAUCAGCAGUUAAUAAUUUUAUUUUGCAAAGUAAUCAAUAAAUGCAUGUGAGGUAAAACACAUUUUUGAAAUUCUCUGACUUAAACUUCAAAGCCUUACAAUAUUUACAUACUUCUGACAUAUCACCUGUGUCCAUAUAUUCGAUCUCUAUUUGCCUUUUAGUUAUUUCUCCGACUAAUAAUUUCUCUUUCUUUGCGCUAGUGCGAUGUUUACUUUCUUGUUUUGACACUGUCGUUUUUUUCUGCUUUCAUAUUCUGUAUCUUGCUCUGCAUGUUUAUUUCGCCUACGUUUUUUUUGAGUCUUUUGAAUUCCAGUUUUCAUUAUCUCUAACCUGCUCUGCAUGUAUUUGGCCCCCUUGUGUUUUAACCUCUUUAUGAUAUUUUACUUUGUUUUCUACUCUGUCUUUUAUUUCUGACCUCACUUUAUCCUGCUUUUGUUUCAAUGACACCUGGUCCGUGGUGAUUAUUUUCCCUUUUUCGAGUAAUAAUUUCCAUUUGUUUUGCGCUACUGCGAUCUUUUCUUUCUUUUUUUAUACUUUCCAAUUUUCCUACUUUCAUAUUCUUUAACUUUCUCCACAUGUGUAUCGCACCAACGUUUUUUUUUUUGAGCCUUUCGAAUUCCAUUGCUUUCAUAAUCUCUAACCUGCUCUGCAUGUGUAUAGCGCCAACGUCCGGAUUGGACGUGCUUUUUUUUCAGUUCCACUUGUUCCGGGCUGAUAAUUACUUUCCUUAUUUUCUGAAUUUGCACCUCGAUUAUUCUUUUUCUUUUUUGUCUCUCCAACGCUUUUGAGUCUCUUUUCUCCACACUGCUUUCUUCUUCGCUUAGUCGUCUACAUUUCAUGCAUAACGUAUUGUCCUUAUACGCUUUAUAUGUACUGAGAGCCCUGGAUCUGUGUGUGCUCAAAGCCAAAACACGACAGAGUGUGUUGCUGCCCGUGCUCUUAUUUGGUUGUAAGUAGGGCGUGUCUUGCAAGAAUCUCAUGUUCUACAUCAUCGCAAGACACUCUGUGACCAAUCUCUUUAGUCUUGCGGGUCUUUUAAGUGUCUUCCGUGAUCUUAACGUGAAGAUCACGUCUCGAUGCCCUACUGUUUCUCUGCAGGAUUUUUUUUUUAUAAUAGAGAGAU